UACGUAGGGUGCAAGCGUUGUCCGGAAUUAUUGGGCGUAAAGGGCUCGUAGGCGGUCUGUCACGUCGGGAGUGAAAACUCAGGGCUUAACCCUGAGCCUGCUUCCGAUACGGGCAGACUAGAGGUAUGCAGGGGAGAACGGAAUUCCUGGUGUAGCGGUGGAAUGCGCAGAUAUCAGGAGGAACACCGGUGGCGAAGGCGGUUCUCUGGGCAUUACCUGACGCUGAGGAGCGAAAGUGUGGGGAGCGAACAGG
rnacentral:rRNA from 1 species